AGAGUUUGAUCCUGGCUCAGGACGAACGCUGGCGGCGUGCUUAACACAUGCAAGUCGAACGAUGACGGUGGUGCUUGCACCACCUGAUUAGUGGCGAACGGGUGAGUAACACGUGAGUAACCUGCCCUUCACUUCGGGAUAACCUCGGGAAAUCGUGGCUAAUACCGGAUAUGAGCUCCUACCGCAUGGUGGGUGUUGGAAAGAUUUAUCGGUGAAGGAUGGACUCGCGGCCUAUCAGUUUGUUGGUGAGGUAAUGGCUCACCAAGGCGAUGACGGGUAGCCGGCCUGAGAGGGCGACCGGCCACACUGGGACUGAGACACGGCCCAGACUCCUACGGGAGGCAGCAGUGGGGAAUAUUGCACAAUGGGCGAAAGCCUGAUGCAGCGACGCCGCGUGGGGGAUGACGGCCUUCGGGUUGUAAACCCCUUUCAGUAGGGAAGAAGCGAAAGUGACGGUACCUGCAGAAGAAGCGCCGGCUAACUACGUGCCAGCAGCCGCGGUAAUACGUAGGGCGCAAGCGUUGUCCGGAAUUAUUGGGCGUAAAGAGCUCGUAGGUGGCUUGUCGCGUCUGCCGUGAAAACCCGAGGCUCAACCUCGGGCGUGCGGUGGGUACGGGCAGGCUAGAGUGUGGUAGGGGAGACUGGAACUCCUGGUGUAGCGGUGAAAUG
rnacentral:rRNA from 2 species